GAGAGAGAGGCACAGAGACAGAGAGAGAGAUGGCGAUGGAAGGAGAGCGAGGGGGAGGGGUAGGGGUCUCGGCACUGUUGAUGCAGAUGGGAUGGUGGGUAUGGUCUGAGAAGACCAUAUGGGUCGUCGGGAUUUCAGGGAGACGGGGUAAGGGACAUCGACAAACCCUACUAAGGGUGGGGUGUGCCGGAUCUUGCGCUGCAUGCCUGAAAUCCAAAGAUAAGUUUCUUUUUAAAAUUGUAUUCUUUAAUGUUGCCUUGGAUUUUCUGAUUGUUUAGUAUGUUAGGUCCGGUUUUGGGGGAGUUGUGAUUUUCUAGAGAGAGAUGGAUGGGGAGAUAGAGGUAGACAGAGAUAGGAGAAAGCAUGGAUGUGUUCAUUUUUUUGGAUUAAUUAAUGGGUUAGUGCACAGGGUCAGUGAGGAGAGAGUCACAGAAGGGUGUAUGGCAGGGUAUGGCUUUUCGGUUUUUCCUUCUGAUUGAAUAGGGUAUGUACUGUUUCAAACUAAUUGUUUAUUGUUUUGUUUUCCUUUUGCUUUGUUAGAACCAAAAUUUUCUAGUGUUUGCUUCUCAUUCCUCUGUUGGUUGAUUUUUUUUUUACCCAUCUCUUGGUUCCUUAUGUAUUCCUUGGCUCUGUCUAAUUUUUGGUUGUGGGCUGAUGCUUGCAGGUGAACUAUGUGCACGGUUUUUUGGACGAGUUAGGAAGAUCCACAUGAACUGGUAAUUUCUUGUGGUUGUGUACUUAAAUGUACAUGUGUAACAUGCAUACCUGCCCAACAUCAUAAGCGUGGCUUGAGGAUUGGUCCCUGGUGAUAAAUUGAAUACAGAUCCAUCAACAACACGUAAUGCCUUGAUCCCCAUGACCCGCAAAUCUUCAUCAACUACCUUUCCGACCACGCAUCCUCCAUGGUAGUGCCAAAAUGUGGCUACUGUAUCUCGACAAAAGGUUUUAAGGGAUGCAUCAUCUGACUGGUUCAUUGGUAAAGGCGGUCCAAAAAGGUUGAAACCGUCUAGACCUGGCAAAUCUCGAGCCUUAUACGGUUUCAAUGAGUUUGUUUUUAAUAAAUCACCCAUUUUCCUCA